rnacentral:rRNA from 1 species
UGAGCGAAAGCUUGACGCAGCGACACCGCGUGAGGGAUGAAGGCCCUCGGGUUGUAAACCUCUUUCGGCAGGGACGAAGCGGAAGUGACGGUACCUGCAGAAGAAGCUCCGGCUAACUACGUGCCAGCAGCCGCGGUAAGACGUAGGGAGCGAGCGUUGUCCGGAUUCAUCGGGCGUAAAGCGCGCGCAGGCGGCCGUGCAAGUCGGGUGUGAAAAUCCGGGGCUCAACCCCGGACCUGCACCCGAUACUGCACGGCUAGAGGUAGGUAGGGGAGAUCGGAAUUCCUGGUGUAGCGGUGAAAUGCGCAGAUAUCAGGAGGAACACCGGUGGCGAAGGCGGAUCUCUGGGCCUUACCUGACGCUCAGGCGCGAAAGCUAGGGGAGCGAACAGGAUUAGAUACCCUGGUAGUCCUAGCCGUAAACGUUGGGUGCUAGGUGUGGGCGGAUAUUGACCCCGUCCGUGCCGUAGCUAACGCAUUAAGCACCCCGCCUGGGGAGUACGGCCGCAAGGCUA